AUUGAACGCUGGCGGCAGGCCUAACACAUGCAAGUCGAGCGAGAGGCGGACGGGUGUGAAAUGUAAGGGGACUGCCCGAUAGAGGGGGAUAACUACUGGAAACGGGAGAUAAUACCGCAUACUAUCGGAAAACCCAUAUGGGAUUAGAUAGUAGGUGAGGUAAUGGCUCACCUAGGCGACGAUCCCUAGCUGGUCUGAGAGUAUGAUCAGCCACACUGGUACUGAGACACGGCCCAGACUCCUACGGAGGCAGCAGUGGGGAAUAUUGCACAAUGGGCGCAAGCCUGAUGCAGCCAUGCCGCGUGGGUGAAGAAGGCCCUAGGGUUGUAAAGUACUUUCAGUCGGGAGGCGUUACCGACAGAAGAAGCACCGGCUAACUCCGUGCCAGCAGCCGCGGUAAUUC
rnacentral:rRNA from 1 species